rnacentral:tRNA from 1 species
GUCUCUGUGGCGCAAUUGGUUAGCGCGUUCGGCUGUUAACCGAAAGGUUUGUGGUUCAAGCCCACCCAGGGACG